GCACCCUUAGCUCAACUGGAUAGAGUACCUGACUACGAAUCAGGCGAUUAGAGGUUCGACUCCUCUAGGGUGCA
rnacentral:tRNA from 1 species